CCUACGGGAGGCAGCAGUAGGGAAUCUUCCACAAUGGGCGAAAGCCUGAUGGAGCAACGCCGCGUGGGUGAAGAAGGUCUUCUGAUCGUAAAACCCUGUUGUUAGAGAAGAAAGUUCGUGCGCGUAACUGUUCACGUUUCGACGGUAUCUAACCAGAAAGCCACGGCUAACUACGUGCCAGCAGCCGCGGUAAUACGUGGGUGGCAAGCGUUAUCCGGAUUUAUUGGGUUUAAAGGGUGCGCAGGCGGUCUGUUAAGUCAGCGGUCAAAGCCCGGGGCUCAACCCCGGACCGCCGUUGAAACUGGCAGCCUCGAGUUGGAGAGAAGUAUGCGGAAUGCGCGGUGUAGCGGUGAAAUGCAUAGAUAUCGCGCAGAACUCCGAUUGCGAAGGCAGCAUGCCGGAUCCACACUGACGCUGAGGCACGAAAGCGUGGGUAUCGAACAGGAUUAGAUACCCGAGUAGUC
rnacentral:rRNA from 1 species